rnacentral:rRNA from 1 species
UCACGAAAUGGUCAGAGCUAAUUAUAUAUAGUUUAUAGAUUAAGCACAGUGUGUAGUAUAACACUGGAAAAAGAUAUAAUUAGGUGUGAUAGGCUUUUCAAAGACCAGGAUAUCUUGAUAGCGUUUAAACGUAUGUAGUACGUAAGACAAAUAGAAAGUGUUGAGGCUUUUUAUAAUUUCGAAAUCGAUUGUGUGAACUUAUUGGUUUAAUCAUCUUUAAUUUACGAUUAAUAAUAUUAAUUUUCCCAUAUUUGAUUAAAACACGCGCUUCUAUAAAUAGUUAAGAUGUAUAGUAAUAAUGUUUCCAUAAGUAUUAAAUUAAGGCGUUUAUAAUGAACUCGGCAAUAAGUAUUCUCAACUGUUUACCAAAAACAUAGCUGUAUGGGAUUAUAUAUAGUUAUUUCUGCUCAAUGUAAUAUAAAUGGCCGCAGUACUCUGACUGUGCAAAGGUAGCAUAAUCAAUUGGCUUAUAAUUGAAGUCUCGUAUGAAAGAAAAUAUGGGGAUAGACUGUAUAGAAAGCGUUCUUUAAAAUUACUUAAUAAGUGAAAAGACUUAUAUUUAAAUAAUAGACGAGAAGACCCUAGAAAUUUUGAGCAACCAUAACAUAUAGGUUUUUGUUGGGGCGACACAGUAGCAGACGAACCUACUAAGAUGAAUGUGAUUAUUAUAUUAUGAAUAAUUAAAUUACUCUAGGGAUAACAGCAUAAUAUUCAAAAGUUUGUGACCUCGAUGUUGGAUUAGGAUACUACCACCCAGAAGGUUACUAGUAAGGCUCUGUUCGAGCAAUUUAUUCCUACAUGAUCUGAGUUCAGACCGGCGUAAGCCAGGUCAGUUUCU